GCGGGUGUAGUUCAGUGGUAGAACGUCAGCUUCCCAAGCUGGAUGUCGUGGGUUCGAGUCCCAUUACCCGCU
rnacentral:tRNA from 1 species